rnacentral:rRNA from 1 species
CCCUUAGAUGUUCUGGGCCGCACGCGCGCUACACUGACGAAGUCAGCGAGCAUGUCCUACGCCGACAGGUGCGGGGAAUCUUGUCAAACUUCGUCGUGAUGGGGAUUGAUUAUUGAAAUUCUUGAUCAUCAACGAGGAAUUCCUAGUAAGCGCAAGUCAGCAGCUUGCGUUGAUUACGUCCCUGCCCUUUGUACACACCGCCCGUCGCUACUACCGAUUGAAUGGUUUAGUGAGAUCUUCGGAUUGGCGCCACUGCGGCUCAGCAAUGGGCUCGGUGGAUGCCGAAAAGUUGAUCAAACUUGAUCAUUUAGAGGAAGUAACAGUCGUAACA